GUGGUUACAUUGAUUAUUUCAUUGUGGGAUGUUCUGUAAUUUUUUAAAUUAAUACUUCUCUUGAGUCCGUGUUUAUUUAAUAAAUAAGUUGUUAAAUAGGUUUAUAAAGGAUUUACUAUUGUGCAGAAUAUUUUCUACAGGCUAUUACGAUGUCUUGGAGAGGAAGGGAGGAACGUCCGCGCUGGGCUGAAAAUCGAGCCCGUUCACCCGUGUGGGAGGCUCGUCGCAGCGCCAGUGCCGAACGAAGUAGGCAACCAUCACCGCGCGAUCGAAGGGAUCGUGAUCGUCGCGACCGCCACGACCGAUACGAUCGUGAUAGAGAGCGCCGUGACCGUGAUAGGGACCGUGAUCGCGAUGUGGAUAGAUAUGGUCGCCGCGAUCGGUACGAUAAGCCUCGCGAUCGGGACCGAGAGCGGCGACGGUCACCACGUUGCUUUGAUGAUAGUGAUGUUCCUGCGCCGCCUUCUCCACCAAAAAUAAGUGGAGACUUUAUAAAGGACAGUGACUCUCGGUCCAGCAGUCGAUCAACCAGCCGCGAACCACAAGACCUCACCUUAGACAGCUUUGAAAGUAAAUAUGAAAGGGAAAAGCUGGAUGACAGUCAAGUAGUAAAUGCAUCUCCUGGAGAUUGGUUCUGUAAGUGUGGUUCAUACAACUUCAAGAGACGACAAGUAUGCUAUAGGCGGAACUGCCUGGGCAAGAGAAUGGAGGGGGUAGUGUAUGGAGGUGAUUCAGAGAGAGGAGGUGCUGAUUCCAACUCUGGUAUAACAAAGAGGCUUUUAUUUAGACGGCUUGAUGCUUUAACUACUGAAGAGAAAAUCUUAGAGGCAGUUAAAGACAGAUGUUCGAAAACAGUUUUAGACUCAAUUGCUGGCAUAACUAUAGGCCGAGAGACUUUGACAGGUGCUUCAAAAUGUCUCGCAUAUAUAAACUUUAAUUCUAUUGCUGAUUCUACAGCUGCUCAUUCUGAGUUAAUUUCUCUAGAUCCACCAUUGACAAUAGAUGCAAGGGAAGUUCUUAUUUCAUUUUAUAAUGAACCACAAAAAAUACAAAAGCCUAUAAAUCAAAAUUCUUCUGACUUUUCUGCAUAUUAUGCACAUAUGGCUAGUUAUGGGUCUCCUCACGCAUUAUCGGAGGCAGAUAGAGUGAAUGCAGCUGCUGCAGUUGCCCAGUCUGCUAUAAAUGCUGCCCAAGCUCGCAACAUGUCUUGGACACCAGUAUCAGUACCAGCGUUUGUUGCAUCUUCAUCAUCACAGGUGUCUUCUGUUUUAAAUAUACCAACAGGUGACAGUAAGACGGUAUACUCUGCACCAGAUGUUAGAACAUUUAUGUAUGAUGAGACAUCAGGUUAUUAUUAUGAUCCAGCAACAGGGUUAUAUUAUGAUGGCAAUACACAGUACUUUUUCAACAAUCAGACUAACCAGUACAUGUAUUGGGACGCUAAUACCUCUACCUACAUCGCUGCAUCACAAACUCAGACAAAUUCAGAUCAGCCUAAACUACAAAAUCCUCCACAGCCAAGUGUAGACAACACAAUAAUCAAAGAACCUGAAGAAAAGAAAAAGAAAGAUAAAGAUGACAAAGUGAAAGUUGCCAAGAAGAUAGCCAAAGAUAUGGAAAGAUGGGCACGUACUUUAAAUCAAAAGAAAGAGAACGCUAAAAGCAAUAUAGUAAUGGAACAACCAUCAGAUACUGGGCCUAGUAUUGGUUCUGCAGAUAUUGGUUUCUCAGUCCUUGGCGCUGGACCUUCAUUAACAAUGUUAAGAGAACUGUCACCUCCACCACCUGUGUCAACUGAUGAUUUCCUUAUGAAAAAGACAGAGACAGGUGUGUUUGAUAGUGAUGAUGGUAUAAUAGAGUGGUCUAAACUUACAUGCUUGAUUUGUAAGCGUAAAUUCCCUUCAAUUGAUGUAUUGUCUAAGCACAAAACACUUUCAGAUUUGCACAAACAAAAUCUUGCAGAUUAUAGAAAGAGAAAUGAAUUGUUACCUCCAACAAAUGGGUAUAGAGAUAGGGCAGCAGAGAGACGUAUGAAGUUUGGUGAAGAUGAUCCUCCACCAAUAAGAAAGCGAUAUGAACAACCAGAGGUGCAUGCACCAACUGUGUCAGCUCCUCCCCCAUCAGUAGUAGAUACAAUAGGUGGGAAAAUGUUGCAAAGAAUGGGUUGGUCGGAAGGAAGAGGGUUAGGGAAAGAAGAGCAAGGCAGAAUAGCUCCUAUUGAAGCUGAACAGCGACCAAGUUUAGCUGGCCUGGGUCAAAAAAGAGGCAUAUACACCCCUACACCAGGAUUAACAUACAGAGAUACAGUGAAAAAACUCAUGAUUGCAAGAUAUAAAGAGGUUGUUGGAGAAGAUUGAAGUAAUUAAUAGAUUUGGCGCCGCAAAGCAACACAGGACCUGCGCAAAAGAUGUGCCUGUUUUGCAAUUGAACCGGUCGGCUGCGAGACUCCGUGCCAAUACAAAACUUAAAUAUAUUGUUAAGAUAAUUCUUAUACAUGUAUAUAUAAGUUUAAUCUCCUAUAAAUUAGGACAUCUGUUUGUAGUUAUAAUUUGGUAUAAUAUGUAAAUUCACUUAAGAAAAAAAACUUUAGAUAGGUACAAUGUUAAUGCAAUUGAAUAAGUGAUCCAAGUAAAUUAAAACAAGCCUUCACAAAGUUUUAGUUGUUGGUUUAUAAUUAACAUAUGUAUUAUAUAUUUAUAUUUUUUAUUUUUUCAUUGUAAGUAAAUACAUCAAAAUAUGCAAACAAAUGAGCUUACACAGGGUGUAAUGAUGUAAGGUAGCUACCUUUUAAUAUAAUACAACGAACAUUAUGUGGUCAAUUGACAAAGAUACUCUAAAAUAUAUAUAUAAUGUAAAUACUACAUCAAUAGUUUUUAUUAUAAUAGUUCAUUUUAUGUACGAUUAUUUUCUAGUUUUUUUUAAAUUGCUAGGCUGUAAUACUCCAUUCAAUUAAAAAGUAAUUCUAUUUCAUAAUUUAGGUACAAAGUUUUGAAUGUGAUACUGGUGCUAAUUCAAGUUUACACUAACAACUAAACUUAAUUGAUAGGUCAUCGAGUUGGGCUUAAUUUAUUUACUAUCACACACU